GAUGAACGCUAGCUACAGGCUUAACACAUGCAAGUCGAGGGGCAGCAUGACCUAGCAAUAGGUUGAUGGCGACCGGCGCACGGGUGAGUAACACGUAUCCAACCUGCCGAUUAUUCCGGGAUAGCCUUUCGAAAGAAAGAUUAAUACUGGAUAGCAUAACGAGAAGGCAUCUUCUUGUUAUUAAAGAAUUUCGAUAAUCGAUGGGGAUGCGUUCCAUUAGUUUGUUGGCGGGGUAACGGCCCACCAAGACAUCGAUGGAUAGGGGUUCUGAGAGGAAGGUCCCCCAAAUUGGAACAGAGACACGGCCCAAACCCCUACGGGAGGCAGGAGUGAGGAAAAUUGGUCAAUGGACGAGAGUCAGAACCAGCCAAGGAGCGUAAAGGAUGACCGCCCUAUGGGUUUUAAAUUUUUUUUAUAUGGGAAAAAAGGGGGCCACGUGGGGUUUUUUGUUGGACCCAAACAAAAAAGGAUCGGCUACCUCCGG
rnacentral:rRNA from 1 species